rnacentral:rRNA from 1 species
GACGAACGCUGGCGGCGUGCUUAACACAUGCAAGUCGAACGGAAAGGCCCUGCUUUUGUGGGGUGCUCGAGUGGCGAACGGGUGAGUAACACGUGAGUAACCUGCCCUUGACUUUGGGAUAACUUCAGGAAACUGGGGCUAAUACCGGAUAGGAGCUCCUGCUGCAUGGUGGGGGUUGGAAAGUUUCGGCGGUUGGGGAUGGACUCGCGGCUUAUCAGCUUGUUGGUGGGGUAGUGGCUUACCAAGGCUUUGACGGGUAGCCGGCCUGAGAGGGUGACCGGCCACAUUGGGACUGAGAUACGGCCCAGACUCCUACGGGAGGCAGCAGUGGGGAAUAUUGCACAAUGGGCGGAAGCCUGAUGCAGCAACGCCGCGUGCGGGAUGACGGCCUUCGGGUUGUAAACCGCUUUCGCCUGUGGCGAAGCGUGAGUGACGGUAAUGGGUAAAGAAGCACCGGCUAACUACGUG